rnacentral:tRNA from 3 species
GGGGUCGUAGCUCAGUUGGUAGAGCAUCUGCUUUGCAAGCAGAGGGUCGCGAGUUCGAAUCUCGCCGGCUCCACCA